UCCCUGGUGGUCUAGUGUCUAAGGAUCCUGUGUUCUCAUCACUGCAGCCAGGGUUCAGUUCCCAGGCAGGGAA